AGGCAAAGCAGUGGCUAAGUUCUGUGCUAAGUAUCUUCACCAGCAAGUGCUUGCGCAUGUAGCAUACUCAGCUGGAGAUUUAGGCACUUCUGCGCAGAAAGCUUUUCUCAGAAUGGAUGAAAUGAUGCGUGGACAAAGGGGGUGGAGGGAAUUAGCCAUAUUGGGCAAUAAGAUAGAUAAGGUUUCUGGUAUGAUAGNNNNNNNNNNUAUGGUCACCUAGGGUUGGUGAAGCCAAUGGCCAUGUUGAUAAUUGGUCUUAUGAGGAGGGACCUCAUUCGGAUUUUCUUGGGCCAAAUGCUGGAAGCACAGCAUGCGUUGCAAUGAUUCGAAACAAUCAACUUGUUGUUGCCAAUGCUGGUGAUUCCCGUUGUGUUAUAUCCAGGAAGGGUCAGGCAUAUAAUUUGUCUAAAGAUCACAAGCCUGACCUUGAGGUUGAGAGAGAUAGGAUUCUGAAAGCUGGCGGUUUCAUACAAAUUGGACGUGUUAAUGGAAGUUUGAACUUGGCUAGGGCAAUUGGGGAUGCAGAGUUCAAGCAGAACAAAUCACUGCCUGCUGAGAAGCAAAUCAUAACUGCCAAUCCAGACAUAAAUACUGUUGAGCUCUGCAAUGAUGAUGAGUUUCUUGUUCUUGCUUGUGAUGGCAUUUGGGAUUGCAUGUC
rnacentral:misc_RNA from 1 species